UCCGAGUUGACCCCGGCAGUCUCCCAUGAGUCCCCACCAUCACGUGCUGGCAACAUGGAACGAGGGUUGCGCUCGUUGCGGGACUUAACCCAACAUCUCACGACACGAGCUGACGACAACCAUGCACCACCUGUACACCGACCUUACGGGGCGACCAUCUCUGGCCGUUACCGGUGUAUGUCAAGCCUUGGUAAGGUUCUUCGCGUUGCAUCGAAUUAAUCCGCAUGCUCCGCCGCUUGUGCGGGCCCCCGUCAAUUCCUUUGAGUUUUAGCCUUGCGGCCGUACUCCCCAGGCGGGGCGCUUAAUGCGUUAGCUGCGGCGCAGAACCCGUGGAAUGGGCCCCACACCUAGCGCCCAACGUUUACGGCAUGGACUAC
rnacentral:misc_RNA from 1 species